GUGCAGCAGUCGCGAAUCCUUCGCAAUGUGCGAAGCAUGACGAGGCGACGCCGCGUGGAAGAUGAAGCCCUGCGGGGUGUAAAUUCCUUUAUAGGGGAGAACUUUGUGACUGUACCCUAUGAAUAAGGAGCUACUAAUCACGUGCCAGCAGUAGCGGUAAUACGUGAGCUCCGAGCGUUAUCCGGAUUUACUGGGCGUAAAGCGUUCGUAGGCGCUCGUAGUUUA
rnacentral:rRNA from 1 species